AUAUUGGUCAAUGGACGCGAGUCUGAACCAGCCAAGUAGCGUGAAGGAUGACUGCCCUAUGGGUUGUAAACUUCUUUUAUAUGGGAAUAAAGUUUUCCACGUGUGGAAUUUUGUAUGUACCAUAUGAAUAAGGAUCGGCUAACUCCGUGCCAGCAGCCGCGGUAAUACGGAGGAUCCGAGCGUUAUCCGGAUUUAUUGGGUUUAAAGGGAGCGUAGGCGGGUUGUUAAGUCAGUUGUGAAAGUUUGCGGCUCAACCGUAAAAUUGCAGUUGAUACUGGCAUCCUUGAGUACAGUAGAGGUAGGCGGAAUUCGUGGUGUAGCGGUGAAAUGCUUAGAUAUCACGAAGAACUCCGAUUGCGAAGGCAGCCUGCUGGACUGUAACUGACGCUGAUGCUCGAAAGUGUGGGUAUCAAACAG
rnacentral:rRNA from 1 species